rnacentral:rRNA from 1 species
GGAUUAGAUACCCUGGUAGUCCACGCCGUAAACGAUGGAUGCUAGCCGUCGGGGAGCAUGCUCUUCGGUGGCGCAGCCAACGCAUUAAGCAUCCCGCCUGGGGAGUACGGUCGCAAGAUUAAAACUCAAAGGAAUUGACGGGGGCCCGCACAAGCGGUGGAGCAUGUGGUUUAAUUCGAGGCAACGCGAAGAACCUUACCAGCUCUUGACUUCCUGGUCGGGGCUCCAGAGACGGAGCUCUUCAAUUGGCCAGUGACAGGUGCUGCAUGGCUGUCGUCAGCUCGUGCCG